UAAAAAAAAAUCACCCAAUUCGUGCGGCUCAUGUCGCCGCCGCCGGAGUCCGGUAGCGGCCGCCGCACUUCAUGAAGUCCGGCUCUCUCUUCGUACGGAGCACGGCCCCCGCUCCAGCGCCUUCCCAAAUGGCGGUUCGGUGGCAGUCCUUCCCCUCCCCCCGGCCGCGCUAGACUUGGGUGUGACACGAAUCUAGCAGUUCCCUCAAAGCAUCAGCAAUCUGCAUCCGCUCUGUCGGUUCUUCCCUCGAACAUUGGAUGCCAACUCUGAAAACUGACGUGAUACAAUUAAUGUCUAUAUCUUCCUUGAUUGUGAUGUCUGACUUGUCCUCACCAUGCUCUGUUAGGAACAUAUUUUGAUCGAUUAUUUCUGUUGUAUUGUGUGGCAAUGCCAUCUCGACAUACUGGUGAAGGCCAAAACCUUCCUUGAAUGCAACAUCAGUUGGUCUUUUUGCAGUGAAUAAUUCCAGUAGAAGUAUCCCAUAGCUAAAGAUAUCCCCAUGUGUAGAAACUUCAUUGCCAAUUCCAUACUCUGGAAAGGAAGUUGUCAUGAGAAUGUGAGUGAAACAGUAAUCUAGUACUAUGGCUUACCUGGAGCAAUGUAUCCUAUGGUUCCUCUCAGUGCUCUCAUACUAGUUGAAUUUUGUGAUGAAUUGGCGUCAUCAGAUAGAAACCUUGCCAGUCCAAAG